GCUGGGUGUGGUGGCGCACACCUGUAAUCCCAGCAAUUUGGGAAGUUGAGGCAGGAGGAUGGAAAGUUCAAGGCCAGUCUCAGCAAAUUAGUGAGGACCUAAGCAACUUAGUGAGCCCCUGUCUCAA
rnacentral:sRNA from 1 species